rnacentral:rRNA from 1 species
UACGUAGGUGGCAAGCGUUGUCCGGAAUUAUUGGGCGUAAAGCGCGCGCAGGUGGUUCCUUAAGUCUGAUGUGAAAGCCCACGGCUCAACCGUGGAGGGUCAUUGGAAACUGGGGAACUUGAGUGCAGAAGAGGAAAGUGGAAUUCCAAGUGUAGCGGUGAAAUGCGUAGAGAUUUGGAGGAACACCAGUGGCGAAGGCGACUUUCUGGUCUGUAACUGACUCUGAGGCGCGAAAGCGUGGGGAGCAAACAGGA